rnacentral:lncRNA from 1 species
UCCCAUAGGUUCUAUUCUAUCUGAUAGUGAGAUAUAUUAUGUUCUCCAUCACAAUAUCAUCGAAACUUCUUUCAAUGGAUUGGAAUAAUUUCAAUUCUACCUUUCGAGGGUCGUCGAUUAUCAAGAUGAUGCCCGACGAGUCUCACAAUCCACCAAUGACACCUAGCAGCAUGUUGUGACAAUCUAGUAGAAUGAAAGUAUGAAUCUCUAGGUGC